CAAAGAGAAAGAAGCUUUUUCGUUCACGAUUUGCCGGCGAUUAUUCUCCACUGUUGUUGGUUCCGCUUGAGGCAAAAUUCUCGUCUUCCUGCAUCAGCUUUCUCAGUGGUGUAGGUUAGCUUUGCUUCCAACGUAAAUGGCUUUUUUAGCAUCUUCGUCCGGCUUUGUUUCUGGUAUUGGUGGUUUUGUCAACACCGGUGGUCGACUCUGUUUCUAGCGAUCUCACCGCUUAUCUCGCUAGCGGGUAUUGGCUAGCUUUUGCUCAGGAGCGUUUGCUCUAACUUUUUUUUUUUUUUUUCUUUAGGCUCUUUUGAUUUCCAAUUAGUUUUGGUUUCCUUUGGCUCUCGCUAGCUUUAUCUCUUUCUAUUGAUCUAAGUUUGUAAUUCUUCAAUCCUUCUUUGUUUAAAGGGCUUGAUUCGUUCUUCAUGCUUUCUAGAUUUUAAAAUUUUAAGAACGAAGUUAUAUUGUUGGAUUGAUGUUUCUCUUCGUUAAUAGUUCAUGUUGAAGUAAUUGGGGGCUGAAAUUAUAUACCGAUACUUUGGAUUCGAUUGAAUUUUCGUUUUUAGGUUUGAUGACCUGCAAUUGAAGAUUGAAAGCUUGUCUAUUGAAGAAGAAGAAGAAGAAGAAAAUUCAAAGAUUCUCAUCAAAGCUAAAAUUGGAAUCUCGCCAUGAUUUCUUUGGGCGAAGUUUGAGACAUGUUGAUAGAUCAAGUUUUCUGGUGAUUUUGGUCGGAUUGAAGAUUCCCGACGACACACAAUUUUGCCAAUGAACGGAAACUCCUAUCUCUUCCACUUCCCACGUGUCUAGAAGCCUGGUUACCAUUGGAUACGUGUUUCAUGUGCUGUCUACAACAAGCUUUCCUUCAAUUUAGGGUUUCUGUUGGGCUUUUCUUUUAAUUUAGUGUUAUUGCCUGUUAAUUUUGGCUUUAUAUUAUUUGGCCUUGUAUAAAUAAAUAAAACACAGUUGUGAC